rnacentral:rRNA from 1 species
ACAGGGAUUGCCUCAGUAACGGCGAGUGAAGCGGCAACAGCUCAAAUUUGAAAUCUGGCCCCAGGCCCGAGUUGUAAUUUGCAGAGGAUGCUUCUGGCGCGGUGCCUUCCAAGUCCCCUGGAACGGGGCGCCAUAGAGGGUGAGAGCCCCGUCGGGUUGGCCGCCAAGCCUGUGUGAAGCUCCUUCGACGAGUCGAGUAGUUUGGGAAUGCUGCUCUAAACGGGAGGUAGACCCCUUCUAAAGCUAAAUACCGGCCAGAGACCGAUAGCGCACAAGUAGAGUGAUCGAAAGAUGAAAAGCACUUUGAAAAGAGGGUUAAACAGUACGUGAAAUUGUUGAAAGGGAAGCGCUUGUGACCAGACGUGCGCCGGGUGUUCAGCGGGCGUUUUCGCCCGUGCAUUCGCCCCGGCGCAGGCCAGCGUCGGUUUGGGCGGGGGGAUAAAGGCGCCAGGAACGUAUCUCCCCCGGGAGUGUUAUAGCCUGGUGCGUCAUGCCCCCGCCUGGACCGAGGUUCGCGCUCCGCAAGGACGCUGGCGUAAUGGUCCCCAGCGGCCCGUCUUGAAACACGGACCAAGGAGUCGAGGUUUUACGCGAGUGUCUGGGUGUCAAACCCGCACGCGUAAUGAAAGUGAACGUAGGUGGGAGCUUCGGCGCACCACCGACCGAUCCUGAUGUUUUCGGAUGGAUUUGAGUAGGAGCGUAGGGCCUCGGACCCGAAAGAUGGUGAACUAUACUUGGAUAGGGUGAAGCCAGAGGAAACUCUGGUGGAGGCUCGCAGCGGUUCUGACGUGCAAAUCGAUCGUCAAAUCUGAGUAUGGGGGCGAAAGACUAAUCGAACCAUCUAGUAGCUGGUUACCGCCGAA